rnacentral:rRNA from 1 species
UACGGGGGGGCAAGCGUUGUUCGGAAUUACUGGGCGUAAAGGGUUUGUAGGUGGCCCGCUAAGUCACACGUGAAAUCCUCAGCUUAACUGGGAACUGCGUGUGAGACUGGCAGGCUCGAGGGCAGGAGAGGAACGCGGAAUUCCAGGUGUAGCGGUGAAAUGCGUAGAGAUUUGGAGGAACACCAGUGGCGAAGGCGACUUUCUGGUCUGUAACUGACACUGAGGCGCGAAAGCGUGGGGAGCGAACAGG